rnacentral:piRNA from 1 species
UCAUGACAGUAGCGGACACCCAAGA